CGACAUCGAUCUUUAGGUUCUAAUAGAGAGAAUAGUAAAGUUUCUUUAGGCAUGCUUAAGGUUAUGAUGAAGAGAAAGAAGAUGAUUAUAGGGCAGGAGAGCCUAAAAUGGCUAUAAACUACUUAUCGAAUCAAUGAUUUACCAGAUUCACAACUCCCUCAGCAUAGGACAUGCUUUCCAAGCCUUGGCCUUCCUCUUGAGUUUGGAAAGUGUGAAUCUUGUGGUACUUCCAAACUUGGAAAGUGCGAAGGACAUUUUGUACAUAUAUUGGCUUGACAUUACCAAUAUAUCAUCCUAACCAUGUCAGCGAGCUGAAGCUGUUGUUGAGUUUUUUGUGCCUGAAAUGAGCUACUUUUGGGGUUGGCCUGGAAUUUCCUUUUGCCUUAGAAUCGCUCUGGCUCCUUGUGCACUUGACACCUAUUAGUACUUUUUGAACUGUAACUCUGAUUUCAGAACCGUCAAUUUUAUUUCUUUGUAAAGUUCUAUAACGGAAUUAACUACCUAGAGACUAAAAUUAGAAUAAGUAGUGCUAGGGAUCCCAAAACUUUGUACCAAAAUUACUUACCAAA